rnacentral:rRNA from 1 species
UACAGAGGUCUCAAGCGUUGUUCGGAUUCAUUGGGCGUAAAGGGUGUGUAGGUGGCGCCGUAAGUCGGGUGUGAAAUUUCGGAGCUUAACUCCGAAACUGCAUUCGAUACUGCCGUGCUUGAGGACUGGAGAGGAGACUGGAAUUUACGGUGUAGCGGUGAAAUGCGUAGAUAUCGUAAGGAAGACCAGUGGCGAAGGCGGGUCUCUGGACAGUUCCUGACGCUGAGGCGCGAAGGUCAGGGGAGCAAACGGG